rnacentral:rRNA from 1 species
AUGGCGACGAUCGGCGACGACGGCGGCAUGGGGCGAGCGGCGCCGAGCGCGCAGUGGUCCGACCUCCCCGACGAGCUCCUCGAGAUGGUCCGCUCCAAGGUCGCGUGCCCGCGUGGCCGCAUCCACAUCGCCGCCGUGUGCAAGUCAUGGCGCGACGCCGCGUCCCGGCACCCGCCGCCGCCCGCCCUGCCGCUGCUCCUCCUCUCGCCGUGCGGCUGGCACACGUGGGAAAACAACAAGCUGCUCUACUGCCCCGAGGACGCCGGGGUCCUGAAAGUCCGGCUCCCGGCAUGCUUGCGCGGCACGUGGUUCAACGGGUCCUUUGACGGCGGCUGGAUCGCUGCCGGCCGCCUGAGGGCACGCGUCAUCAUCGCGAACCUCUUCUCCGGCGUCCAGGUGCCCCUCUCCAAGAAGCAGAGGACCAUCGCGUGCCCGCGCCACCGCGGCCUCCCGUACCUCGUCUGGAAAACCGUCUUCUCCGAGGCCCCCACCUCGGGCGCGUGCCUCCUCGCCGCCAUCACCGACACGUGCAACCUCGCGCUCUGCAGGAUCGGCUCUCCGGACAGCGGGUGGACGCUGGACCGGUGUGACAAGGAGGGACUCGGCGACAUCGCCUUCUGCCGCGGGGUGCUCUACGGCAUGGCGCGCGAAAGCGAGGACGUGUUCAGGUACGACAUCGGCGAGAAAGAAGACGGCGCGCCGACGAUCACCGCCGCCCAUCCGAUCAAUGUCCAAAUGCGCCAUGGCCCUCGACCCAUGGGCAGGGGCUCCUAUGAUUACGCCAGCUACAUCUUCGAUCUCCAUGGCAAGCUCGCCAUGGCGGUGAUGAUCAAGUGGUCCGGAAACUGCCAACCCUUCUUCAAGGUGUUUGAGCUCGCCGAAGCCGAUGAUGCUAACAGUGACACCACACACGACUACAAGUGGGUGGAGGUGCAAAGCUUGGGCGACUACGCAUUGUUCUUGGGACUAGCCUCCUCCUCCAGAGCGGUGCACGUGCCCGCGGGCGGCCGCGGUGGCGUGAAGAGAAACCACAUUUACUACUCAAAACAUCGAUGCCUAUCCACCAAAACAAAUAAGAAGUUCGACGGGAAAGCAUACCUGACGAGACCUAUAGGUGGCGACUGGAUGUAUUGCAAGGAAGAUCAAGACACCGACUAUGGCGUGGAGAAGAUCCCAUCAGUAGGAUACCACGUCGUUGGUGGCCCUUAUCCUCCUGUCUGGUGCUUACCUCCCGACUUUUAG